rnacentral:piRNA from 1 species
UUUUCUGGAAAAUUUUGAAUC